CUACGGGUCGCAGCAGUUAGGAAUAAUCUACAAUGCGCGCAAGCGUGAUAGUUUGAAUUGGAGUGCUUGCUCUUUUGAGUAAUCUUUUUUGUACUGUAAAAAGGUACACGAAUAAGGACUGGGUAAGACUAGUGCCAGCCGCCGCGGUAAUACUAGCGGUCCAAGUCGCAGCCAUUUUUAUUGGGUCUAAAACAUCCGUAGCUUGCCUGGCAAGUUUCUCGUGAAAUCUUAAUUCUCAAAAUUAGGAAGUGCGAGAAGUACUACCAGGCUAGAGACCGGAAGACGUAACGAGUACGUUCAAAGUAGUGGUAAAAUAUGUUAAUCUUGAACGGACUUACAAGAGCGAAGGCACGUUACGAGGACGGUUCUGACAGUCAGGGAUGAAGGCUAGGGGCGCAAAACGGAUUAGAUACCCGGGUAGUC
rnacentral:rRNA from 1 species